rnacentral:rRNA from 1 species
AGUGAACGCUGGCGGUAGGCCUAACACAUGCAAGUCGAACGGCAGCACAGGAGAGCUUGCUCUCUGGGUGGCGAGUGGCGGACGGGUGAGGAAUAUAUCGGAAUCUACUCUGUCGUGGGGGAUAACGUAGGGAAACUUACGCUAAUACCGCAUACGACCUACGGGUGAAAGCAGGGGACCUUCGGGCCUUGCGCGAUUGCAUGAGCCGAUGUCGGAUUAGCUAGUUGGCGGGGUAAAGGCCCACCAAGGCGACGAUCCGUAGCUGGUCUGAGAGGAUGAUCAGCCACACUGGAACUGAGACACGGUCCAGACUCCUACGGGAGGCAGCAGUGGGGAAUAUUGGACAAUGGGCGCAAGCCUGAUCCAGCCAUACCGCGUGGGUGAAGAAGGCCUUCGGGUUGUAAAGCCCUUUUGUUGGGAAAGAAAUCCAGCUGGCUAAUACCCGGUUGGGAUGACGGUACCCAAAGAAUAAGCACCGGCUAACUUCGUGCCAGCAGCAGCCGCGG